rnacentral:rRNA from 1 species
GUAAUACAUGGGAACCUACCCUUUGGUUCGGAAUAACGUCGGGAAACUGACGCUAAUACCGGAUAAUCCCUUCGGGGCAAAGAUUUAUUGCCGAAGGAUGGGCCCAUGUUGGAUUAGCUAGAUGUGGGGUAAUGGCCUACCAUGGCUCCGAUGGGUAGCUGGUUUGAGAGAGCGACCAGCCACACUGGGACUGAGAAACGGGCCAGACUCCUACGGGAGGCAGCAGUGAGGAAUUUUCCGCAAUGGGCGAAAGCCUGACGGAGCGACGCCGCGUGUGGGAAGAAGGCCUUCGGGUCGUAAACCACU